GGAAACUGAUGCUAAUACCGGAUGAGCCGAGAAGUAAAAGAUUUAUCGCCUAGGGAUGAGCUCGCGUCUGAUUAGCUAGUUGGUGGGGUAAGGGCCUACCAAGGCGACGAUCAGUAGCUGGUCUGAGAGGAUGAUCAGCCACACUGGGACUGAGACACGGCCCAGACUCCUACGGGAGGCAGCAGUGGGGAAUUUUCCGCAAUGGGCGAAAGCCUGACGGAGCAACGCCGCGUGCGGGAGGACGGUUUGUGGACUGUAAACCGCUUUUAAUAGGGAAGAAUUUUGACGGUACCUAUUGAAUCAGCAUCGGCUAACUCCGUGCCAGCAGCCGCGGUAAUACGGAGGAUGCAAGCGUUAUCCGGAAUUAUUGGGCGUAAAGGGUCCGCAGGUGGCUUAUCAAGUUAGCUGUUAAAGGCCGGGGCUUAACUCCGGACGAGCAGUUAAAACUGAUAGGCUAGAGUACGGUAGGGGCAGAGGGAAUUCCUAGUGUAGCGGUGAAAUGCGUAGAUAUUAGGAAGAACACCAGUGGCGAAGGCGCUCUGCUGGGCCUGUACUGACACUGAGGGACGAAAGCUAGGGGAGCGAAAGGGAUUAGAUACCC
rnacentral:rRNA from 1 species